rnacentral:lncRNA from 1 species
UCUCCAGCCCAAGGUCACUAUUCAGCCACCACUUGGCCCUCCCUACCUGUGUAUUGCAUCAGCCUAUAAAAUGACAUGAAGUUUCUUGGGCUGCAAUUAGGAGAGUGCAUACAGACCUGUAUCUCGUUGUGGAACCUCAUUAAAGGGAGUGAUAAAGUGAAGGUCGGCUAUCUUUAUAAGGACAAGAAGGGAGGAACCAAAUACCCAGAAGGCAGGGAGGUUAAUGAGAAAUAGAAUGCACUUUC